GAAAAUUAAAUUGGGAAUUAGGGUUUAGGAGUGUGUCGAUUCAUCUCCUUCUCUCAACCUCUCGUUUUCGUCUCUCCUUCUCUCACUCGCUAAACGGCGCCGAUGGCCUAGUCUCACCGUGAACCGCUGUCUCCAUCCUCUCAACCAACAAAACCUAAACGUAAACUCAACCUAAAAUCACGCCUUGAACCUGAACCUACCACCAAUUUAACAAGGGGGACGCGCGAAUGUUCGGAUCGAAGAUGGGAAAGAGCGAGCCCUAGGUUCUAUAUCAAUCUGAAUUAACGUCUCAGGAUUCUAAGUUCAGCGUCUCGCAAGGAUAUAACUCGGCCUAUGAAGAAUAACGAACAUUCAAGAGCAUACCUGAGGUGAAGAUCGAUGCUGAAUGGAAAGAAGUCCAAAGACGAAGUAAUAGCGUGCUUCCAGUUUUCCUCUUCUUUCUUUUUUGCGUUUCUGCUUUCUUCAAUGCGUGGCACGUUGUUGUUACAGUUCGUUGGAGAUUGUUGCGUUGAUGUUGUUGAUGGAAGAUGAACGAUGAAUGACCGAAGAAGAUGAAGAUUCAAUAGCGGCGGGAUUUGGAGUGUUCUUGAUGACGAACAGAUGAAGAAUGGUGGUGGUGAUAUGCAGAACUAAAGAAUUCUUGAAUCGGUAGCGGUGAUGAUGAAGAUUGGAGAUGAAGGAGAUUGAUGUAUGAUUGUGGUGAGGUCGAAGAAGAUUCGAAGAUGAUGAAAUUGAAGCGUGGAUAUGAAGAUGGGAGAAGAAUGAAGAUCGGAGAGUGUGAAUGAGGCGUGAGUUGCGUUAUGGAGAAGGGGCGUGAAAGAACCUGAAGAAUGAAGAAGAUCUCCCUUACAUAGAGAUGAAGAAAAUCGGUUCUCAAGGUUAUGUACGCGACGUAUAUUGUUAUAAUCUGUAGAAUGCGACUGUCUGACAGCCGUUCUAUUGACGACAACUCCUCGGGAAAUCCAAGAACAUAACACAACUUCUGAAGAAUAAUCCACAGUACUAGAGAACCUGCUCGCCGACGGUUUCUUCGACUUCACAAUCUUGCUGUUGGUACCUUAUUUUUCUUUCGCUUACUGAGCCAAACUUGGUGCCAUCAUCUUCGUCGUCGACUUCAGGUGCAGUGUUUUCAUCAGCUUCAUGUGUUGUGUUUGGCUUAUGUAAGAAUGGCACUGAGUCAAUUAGGAAUCGAAUGAUAGUGACUGGAAUGAAUGUUGAAUGACCGUCUUUUGCGAUGCAGGUCAAAUAUGGAUGAAGUCUUGAUAUGUGGUAAAGAUGAUGAAGGUCGAUUGAACGGAUUACCGGCGAGCUACAGUAGGAAGCAUGUUGCAGCAGCUUUAUGGAGUGUUUCAUGGGAUUAUGUUGGUGGGUUAGCAGUAGGUUUGAAACAGGAUGGUUAGAAAAACUGUUAGUGUUGUGGGUUUGUUUUGGAAUUUUGCUGUUAAUGUUAGUAAGCUUGCUGAACCGACGUUAUUUCAAUGAUGCAGGGCUGAUUCGGGUGUGAUUAUAUGCUGUUUAUGAUUCUGACUUUGUGUGUAAGCUGAAUGGUGAUGAAUUUUUGCAGGUAGUUCUCCACUUGAAAGCCAAACGGAACCCAAGGAAGCUGAAGAUUUGUGCCUGUUCAAUGGAGCUCCUGAACUUGUAAACCAUAUGCUUAGAAAUAAUCAUGUAGUGUCUCAUUUCUUGUUCUAUGUUCCAAAAAUGUAGAAACAGUAGAGUGGUGAUAGUAGUGAGAAUAUUUUUAUGCCAUUCUUUUUGUAAUUUGGUUCUGUGUAAUGGAUCUUCUUGUAAUGACUUUUCUUGUAUUACCUUAUUCUUGGACAGAACUUUCUCUUCUUUUUUUUCA